AAGGAAGAAACCGUUACGGGCCUGGUGAAGGGGUUGAGAGUGAUAUGGCGUUGGGUAUUUAGGGAACUGGAGAAGUUGCAGAGCCAGCCAAAGCAGCAUUCCCAACGAAAAGUCCGGGACUGGCUUAAAGCUGCGACUGCUGCUUGCCGUGUGGUGUUUCCGGCCUUCGUUUCCCCUUCCUACCCUUUAUAGAGAUACCACUGCACCAAGCUUUUAAAAGUAUCAUUUCAUCUCCAAUUCUCCAGAACAACAUAGAGACUUUAUUAUCACCAUCGUCGUCGUCGUCGUCGUGGUCAUCAUCAUCAGUUUUUCCAGACAGGGUUUCUUUUUCCUGGCUGUCCUGGAGCUUGCUCUGUAAAUCAAGCUGGCCUCAAAUUCAGAGAUCCUCUUGCUUCUGCUUCCCAAGUGCUGUGAUUAAAGGCAUGUGCCACCAAGAUUUGAGGACUUAAAAAGUUACUUCUAUGGCCGGAGUUAACAUACCAGGAAUACCAGGCUCCAAUCCUAGGGGCUCUUUCCUAGCUUGAGCAAGCAAAAGCGGGGCCUUCUUUAGUUCAUCUCCAGGAUGCCAGCACUCAAUAUGGGGCCUGACAUAGGAUAGGCAUCAUAAAUAUUCCACGAGUUGCAGGAAUUGAGCAGCAGUGACAAGAGAAGAGCCAAGGAGCCCAGGAACACCCAGUUCUUCCCUGGCUAGCCUCAGGGUAGCUUCUCAGUGUGCCAGCCUCAGUGUGAGCCAACGGAGGGAAGCGGGAGGAAGCUGGGAGGGCUUCCAUACGCCGGGACCUGUAUUUGCGUUCAUCCCAUGUCUCUGUGCAUUAGUUUUUUGGGGGAAUGAAAGUAAUAAAUCAGAACUCAAGACUG
rnacentral:lncRNA from 1 species